rnacentral:rRNA from 1 species
UACGUAGGGUGCAAGCGUUGUCCGGAAUUAUUGGGCGUAAAGAGCUCGUAGGCGGUCUGUUGCGUCGGCUGUGAAAACCCGAGGCUCAACCUCGGGCCUGCAGCCGAUACGGGCAGACUAGAGUUCGGCAGGGGAGACUGGAAUUCCUGGUGUAGCGGUGAAAUGCGCAGAUAUCAGGAGGAACACCGGUGGCGAAGGCGGAUCUCUGGGCCGUAACUGACGCUGAGGAGCGAAAGCAUGGGUAGCGAACAGG